UACAGAGACUGCAAGCGUUAUUCGGAUUCACUGGGCGUAAAGGGUGCGCAGGCGGCCAAGUGUGUGAGGCGUGAAAGCCUGGAGCUUAACUCCAGAAUUGCACCUCAAACUACAUGGCUAGAGCAUUGGAGAGGGUAGCGGAAUUCACGGUAUAGCAGUGAAAUGCGUAGAUAUCGUGAGGAACACCAGAGGCGAAGGCGGCUACCUGGACAAUUGCUGACGCUCAGGCACGAAAGCGUGGGGAGCAAAAGGG
rnacentral:rRNA from 1 species